GUAGUAAUACUUCCUCUUUGAGCCC
rnacentral:piRNA from 1 species